rnacentral:rRNA from 1 species
AUCUUCGGAUUUAGUGGCGGACGGGUGAGUAACGCGUGAGAACCUGCCUUUAGGACGGGGAUAACAGUUGGAAACGACUGCUAAUACCCGAUAUGACGAAAGUUGAAAUGUUUUUUCGCCUAAAGAGGGGCUCGCGUCCGAUUAGCUAGUUGGUGGGGUAAAGGCUUACCAAGGCGUCGAUCAGUAGCUGGUCUGAGAGGACGAGCAGCCACACUGGGACUGAGACACGGCCCAGACUCCUACGGGAGGCAGCAGUGGGGAAUUUUCCGCAAUGGGCGAAAGCCUGACGGAGCAAUACCGCGUGAGGGAGGAAGGCUUUUGGGUUGUAAACCUCUUUUCUCAGGGAAGAAAAUUUGACGGUACCUGAGGAAUAAGCAUCGGCUAACUCCGUGCCAGCAGCCGCGGUAAUACGGAGGAUGCAAGCGUUAUUCGGAAUUAUUGGGCGUAAAGCGUCCGCAGGUGGUUUUUCAAGUCUGCUGUCAAAGACCGAAGCUUAACUUCGGGCAGGCGGUGGAAACUGAAAGACUAGAGUACGGUAGGGGUAGAGGGAAUUUCCAGUGUAGCGGUGAAAUGCGUAGAGAUUGGAAAGAACACCAGUGGCGAAGGCGCUCUACUGGACCGUAACUGACACUCAGGGACGAAAGCUAGGGUAGCGAAAGGGAUUAGAUACCCCUGUAGUCCUAGCCGUAAACGAUGGAUACUAGGCGUUGCUUGUAUCGACCCGAGCAGUGCCGUAGCUAACGCGUUAAGUAUCCCGCCUGGGGAGUACGCACGCAAGUGUGAAACUCAAAGGAAUUGACGGGGGCCCGCACAAGCGGUGGAGUAUGUGGUUU